AUUGAACGCUGGCGGCAGGCCUAACACAUGCAAGUCGAACGGCAGCACAGAAGAGCUUGCUCUUUGGGUGGCGAGUGGCGGACGGGUGAGUAACACGUAGGAAUCUACCCAGUAGUGGGGGAUAACCUGGGGAAACCCAGGCUAAUACCGCAUACGCCCUGAGGGGGGAAAGCGGGGGAUCUUCGGACCUCGCGCUAUUGGAUGAGCCUGCGUCGGAUUAGCUAGUUGGUGGGGUAAGGGCCCACCAAGGCGACGAUCCGUAGCUGGUCUGAGAGGAUGACCAGUCACACCGGAACUGAGACACGGUCCGGACUCCUACGGGAGGCAGCAGUGGGGAAUUUUGGACAAUGGGCGCAAGCCUGAUCCAGCAAUGCCGCGUGCAGGAUGAAGG
rnacentral:rRNA from 1 species